UACAGAGGUCUCAAGCGUUGUUCGGAUUCAUUGGGCGUAAAGGGUGCGUAGGCGGCGCGGUAAGUCGGGCGUGAAAUCUCGGAGCUUAACUCCGAAACUGCAUUCGAUACUGCCGUGCUUGAGGACUGGAGAGGAGACUGGAAUUUACGGUGUAGCGGUGAAAUGCGUAGAUAUCGGAAGGAAGACCAGUGGCGAAGGCGGGUCUCUGGACAGUUCCUGACGCUGAGGCACGAAGGUCAGGGGAGCAAACGGG
rnacentral:rRNA from 1 species